GAACAGCUCUAAGAAAAAGAAAGCCCCUCCCCCCCGGAAUGAGCUUCUCAGGGGGAGCUGGUGAGGGUGUUCACUAGGGAGGGAACCUGAAGAAGAAAGCUCCUAAAUGUGGGUCUGACAGGGAGGAGGCAUGAGUGCUAAAUCUCAGUGGACCUGAUCCCGUGGACGGACUUCACCAAGUAGUAGCAGAAGCUCUGGAACAGAGGAAUUCUAGGUUUUUCCAAGGAAGGUUUGUCAUGGUCUGAUUCCUGUGGGGACCUAGACCCAAGAGGCCCCAGCUCCAGAAGAGGGUUCUGGGUCUAGAGGCCCUGAUGGACAGUGGUUCCGGAUGGGGCACUUUGUUCUUCCCCAGGAUCUAGUUGAGAUUGACCCUUAUCCAGUCCCAGUCAAGACAAGGGAUCAUAUGGGUUGUGGAAAACAUCCAGAAGAUAUGGGCGACAAGAGCAAUAUCCAUUUCCUCCAUACAAGGAGUUUUUCACCUUCCCCUCACAAGGUAAACUAAGGCACAGAGAGGGGAAGUGAUAUACUCCAGAUCACCCAGCCUGAUAGCUGUAGAACCAGGACUCUCCAGUGUCUCAGUCCAGUGAUCUAUCCACUAGGCCAUACUGCUUCUCCUGAAGCUUGGUAUUGAAGAUCCACAUUCCAUGCAGCCUGCUACAUUUCUACAAACACUUCCACAGAGAUAUUGUCUGGAAACUCCUCCUCCCGCUGUGCGCCAGCUGUCCCAGGCUGACACCAAGGCUCUGGUGCACCUCAGA